CAAAACCCCAUUCUUAACUCUAAACCCUAAGUCUAAAUUAGUUAACCGUAGGUAUAAAUGUAUUUUUAAUCUUUAAUAAAACUUCUUUGGUCAUUUUUUUUAUUGAGAGCUAUUUUUGUGACAAAAAAUUAAAAAUGGCUAUCAUAGGGAAUUUUUCUAUAUUGUAUAUUUAUUUAUUCUAUUUUUUGUUUUUAUAUCAAAUCGUAAUAUUAUGAUAUAUGUUUAAUGUAAUUUUUUUAUUUCUUAUAUUCUAUAUUUUCAUAUUAUUUAUUUAACUAUACAUUUUUCGGAUAGAUGUUCAAUUUAUUUUUUUCAUUUUUUAUAUUGUAAAGUUACUUACUGUUUAUCUUUUCUUAUUUUUAUAUUUACUUAUUCUAAAUUUCUGGCAUUUAUAUCAAUGAUAUUAUUACGAUAUAUAUAUUUAAUGUAAUAAUUUAAUUUCUUAUAUACUAUAUUUACUUAUUAUUUAUUAUUUCUUAAUUUUAUAUUUGCAUAUUCUAAUAUUAUGUGUUUAAUAUAAUAUUUAUAUUUAUUAUAUUGUGUAUUUAGUUAUUAUUUAUUUUACUAUACAAUUUUCAAAUAGAUGUUUAAUUUAAUUUUUUUCAGUUCUUCAUCAUAUAUUUA
rnacentral:lncRNA from 1 species